ensembl:lincRNA
AUGACUGGGAGAGCGCCGGCGACCGGGCCAGGCUCCUCCCCCAGCUCCGAGCGCUCGGGGCCAGCGCAGCCAGCUGCUCGCAGGGGCGCCCGCCGCGCUCUCCUCCCCGGCCAGGAAUGUGCAGCCCGGCGCGCCCACACGCACCCAGGGGCCCGCCCGAAGCGCACCGGCAGGCAAGGGACCCAGGGACAGGCCCGCUCCCGAACGUCCGGCCGACUUCUUCCAGGAGGUUUUGAGUCACAACAACUUGUUACUUUCCCAGGGACCAAAGGGCAGAAGACUCACAGUGACUCAACACUUCCUUUCUUCACCUUAAAGACACAGACGCCCUAGGAUGGAGAGCCCCAGGUGAGAAUUCCCUAGUAGGAUUUGUAGACCUCGCAGCCACAAAGCAUAUUUUCUGUAUUUUAAAGAAUACCACUACUUCUGGGCCGACAGUGGUGGCACAUGCCUUUAAUCCCAGCACUUGGGAGGCAGAGGCAGGUGAAUCUCUGUGAGUUACAGGCCAACCUGGUCUACAGUGCGAGUUCCAGGACGGGCUCCAAAGUGACACAGAGAAAUCGUGGCUCAGAAAAACAAAAUAAAAAACCCAUCACUUCUAAGAGUCACAUUUUGAGAACCAUGUAAUAGAUUCCAGGUUCACUCCCUUGUCAUGAGCGUAUUGCUAUUAUUGUGCUCAUUUCACAAACUAGGACCCCAAUCUACUGAUUUGCUUACAUGUACCAUCAGCUAUUUCCGAAGGGUCCCAGUUUGAUUUUCUGUGCUGUGAUAAAACACUGACCAAAAGCAACUUGGGAGAGAAAAGAGUUUAUUUCAACUCAUGCUUUCUAAUCUAUCAUUGAGGGCCGCCAAGGCAGGAAUUCAAGGCAGGAGCUUGAGACAGAAAUCACAGGCAUGCAGCUUACUGGGUUGUUUAUACAGUUCAGAACCACCUGCCCUGGGUGAAAACAUUCCCAUCAGCUGGCCUGUGAGCCUGAACUCUCCAGCUAGGCAAAGAUGUCCUUGAGGUGCCAGGCCUUUCCCAUGUGAAACCCUCUCCCCCAGGUGACAACUACACAACCUUCAUGACCAGAGAAAGGGUCCUCUGCUCUCCUUGGAAAUCACAAUGAAGCAUCCCCUUCCCAAGGAAGUCCAUAUCUUAGUACCCCCCUCCUGUGGCAUCUCCCCCUCUCCCAGCCUGUGACUAUGUUCUGUCAACAAGGAUGUGCUGGCUAGUUUUAACUGUUAACUUGACAGGACCUGAAAUCACGUGGGGAGCAUCUCAAUUGAGGAAUUAUCUAGAUCCCAGAUUGGCCUGUGGGCUUGUAUGUGUGGGAUUAUCUUGAGAGUUAAUUUGCAUAGAAAGAUCCAGCCUGUUGUGGGUGGCACCAUUUCCUGGCUUGGGGCACUGGACUCUUAAGAGGAGGAUGGCUAGCUGAGUUUUGCACAAGCACGCCAAAUUCAUUUUCUCUCUUCCCCCUCAUUGUGGUGGAUGUGGAGUGACUAGCUAGUUCUUUGAAUUUCUGACUUGGUUUCAAUUAAUGAUGGAGUGUGACCUGGAACUGUAAGCUGAAAUAAACCCCUCCUCCCCUGAGUUGCUUUUGGCCAAGAUAUUUUAUCACACCAAUAAGAAAGAAACUAGAAUAAUGGCAAAGAAAAUUAUGGUUGCAGGUGGAAUUAAGUGCUGAUCAUCUGACCUUAAAAUAAGGGGAUUCAUUUGGUUUAUCCAGGUGUCCCAAUGAACCCAGUUUAAUCACAGAGGUCCUUCUAAAUGUAGGAGGGAGCAGGAAUAAGGGAAGAGUGGAGUCUUCUGGCCCUGUCCACCAUGGAGGCUUUGCUCUGUUUACAGCCUCUGUUAAUACCCUGCUGUGGCAACAGUGCUGUACUUGGACUGAGAAGGGACAAAGAGUGUGGAUUGAGAAUGUAACAGAAGGUAGGCUAGACACCUGCACUCAGACUAGGCCAACAAAUAAGUCACCAUUAACUGAUUAAAUCACUGAGUACCCACAGUCAUCACUCCAGAAAAAAAGCCAGGCUCCAUUCUAAGAGGAUAGGUGGGAAACAGUGUGAAACCUGGAAUACCAGCAGAUGUCAGCGCCCUGCACUGCCCUGUCAGUAACAUUAGAAGAUCUUGCAAGAGGCUGGAGAGAAUUUCCACUCUAUUCUAAGACUUGCUUCUUCUCCAUUGGACCAAGGACCCCCUCCAUGGUUACCAUACUUUUGAGCUGGCAAUGCCACAAUUUUAUACACAGAGAAAUCCUUGUGAUGAGGCCUAUAUCAGGAAACAUGGGAGGCCAGAUAUAACUGACAGGGAAGAUACAAUGCAAGACAGAGGCCAAGCCUCCCUAGACAAAAAACACAUUCCUUCUUAUCCAGCUGAAAGUUCACUGCAUAGUCUAUCUUUUUGAUAUGCUGAUGAACACAGAGGAACACUUAGGAACAGGGACCAGAAGUUCCAUCACAUUAUUUCUAGAGACUCAUAGGCCUCGGGUUUGGGCAUUUACACACACCAGAGCACUGAUGGAGUACCACUGUCCUUUGUGAAGGGAGCAGGCAAAAGCACCUUGGCCUGAGAACUGCCAUUUUGACUUCUGACUCCAUUUUACCUGCAGGGUGAAAUAAAGUUCAGGUUCCCAAGCCCUAGGCAAGCUAAAAACUUUCCAAUGGCUGACCAACCUCCUCCUUAAACCAUAGAAAUAGUCAUUAUGCAUCUUUAGUUCUCUAGCAAUAUUUAUGGCUGUUCCCAACAACAGAAGGAACAAAUUAAUCUGAUUGGUUGGACUGAACGGCUUGUACUGUAUAUCGGUUGAAAAUGAUGGAACUUUCAAGGAAAGUCCCUAAUCUUUGAUUUCUGAUUGGUGAAAAUUGUAACUGUAACUUAGCAACAAAUGUUUGUGAAUUUUAUCCUUAUAAGCCCCACUUUCACUCCAGUUCGGGGCUCUCAGAAAGAAAAAGGGUCCUGAGUCCUUUUGGUCAGUAACCUGCUUAUGUAAUGAUUUAUUAAACUCUUUGGAAGGCAUGAACAUUGUCUCUCUCUUUCCUCGUGGUACCCAAAGGGCUCCUG